rnacentral:rRNA from 1 species
GACGAACGCUGGCGGCGUGCCUAAUACAUGCAAGUCGAACGGAAAGGCCCUGCUUUUGUGGCGUGCACGAGUGGCGAGCGGGUGAGUAACACGCGAGUAAACUGCCCUUGUCAUAGGGAUAACUUCAGGAAACUGGGGAUAAUACAGGAUAGGAGCUCCUGCUGCAUGGUGGGGGUUGGUAAAAUUCGGCGGUUGGGGAUCGAAUCGCGGCUUAUCAGCUUGUUGGUGGAGUAGUGGCUUACCAAGGCUUUGACGGGUAGCCGGCCUGAGAGGGUGACCAGCCACAUUGGGACUGAGAGACGGCCCAGACGCGUACGGGAGGCAGCAGUGGAGAGUAUGGCGGAGUAAGCGGGAGCGUGAUACGGCGGCGCCGCGUGCGGAAUGAUGUGUUUCGAGUGAUAAACCGCUGUCGACUGAGACGAAGCGUGAGUGACGGUAAUGGGUAAGAAAGCACCGGCUAACUACGUG